GGAGGGGGGAGGAGUUACCUGAGCCUGUGCACAGGGACGGCACAGGUCAGUCAAAGAAGUCCUCUUCUCAACCAGCCCUUUUUACCUCAGUAAUGUUGGAGAUACAGGACUGU